GUUUGAUCCUGGCUCAGGAUGAACGCUGGCUGUGUGCCUAAUACAUGCAUGUCGAACGAAGUACUUGUACUUAGUGGCAAAUGGGUGAGUAACACGUACCUAACUUGCCUUUUAGAUUGGGACAACCACGGGAAACUGUGGCUAAUACCAAAUAUGUAUAAUUAACAUAUGUUUUUUAUAUGAAAGGAAGCGAUUGCUUUGCUAAAAGAUAGGGGUGCGCUACAUUAGCUUGUUGGUAGGGUAAAAGCCUACCAAGGCUAUGAUGUAUAGUGGGAUCGAGAGGUUGAACCACCACACCGGGAUUGAGAUACGGCCCAGACUCCUACGGGAGGCAGCAGUAGGGAAUAUUCCACAAUGAGCGAAAGCUUGAUGGAGCGACACAGCGUGUAGGAUGAAUGCCUUAGGGUUGUAAACUACUGUUAUAAGAGAAGAAUAGCUAAAAAAGGAAAUGUUUUUAGUCUGACGGUAUCUUAUCAGAAAGCAGUUGCAAACUAUGUGCCAGCAGCAGCGGUAAUACAUAGACUGCAAGCGUUAUCCGGAAUUAUUGGGCGUAAAGCAUUCGUAGGUUGUUUAUUAAGUUUGGUGUUAAAAACAAAAGCUCAACUUUUGUUUGCAUUAAAUACUAAUAGACUAGAGUUAUAAAGAGGUUAAUGGAACUCCAUAUGAAGCGGUGGAAUGCGUAGAUAUGUGGAAGAACACCAAUGGCGAAGGCAAUUAACUGGAUAUACACUGACACUGAGGGAUGAAAGCGUGGGGAGCAAACAGGAUUAGAUACCCUGGUAGUCCACGCUGUAAACGAUGUUUGUUAAUCGGUGGUGAAAUCACUGAUACAGCUAACGCAAUAAACAAACCGCCUGAGUAGUAUGCUCGCAAGAGUGAAACUUAAAGGAAUUGACGGGGAGCCGCACAAGCGGUGGAGCAUGUGGUUUAAUUCGAAGAUACGCGAAGCACCUUACCAACAUUUGACAUCUUUUGCAAAGGCAUAGAGAUAUGCUGGAGGAUAACAAAAAGACAGGUGGUGCAUGGCCGUCGUCAGCUCGUGCCGUGAGGUGUUGGGUUAAGUCCUAUAACGAGCGCAACCCUUUUCUUUAGUUACUAACAUUUAGUUGAGCACUCUAAAGAUACUGCCUAGGUAACUAGGAGGAAGGAGGGGAUGAGGUAGGUCAUCAUGCCUCUUACAUGUUGGGUUACACACGUGCUACAAUGGCAAAUACAAAGAGAAGCAAAAUCGUGAGGUGGAGCAAAUCUGUAAAAUUUGUCUCAGUUCGGAUUGGAGUCUGCAACUCGACUCCAUGAAGUAGGAAUCGCUAGUAAUCCUAGAUCAUCAAUGCUAGGGUGAAUACGUUCUCGGCUCUUGUACACACCGCCCGUCAAACCAUGGGAGUUGGUAAUACCCAAAGCUAGUUAGUUAACCAUUUAUUUGGAGGCAACUAUCUAAGGUAGGAUCAAUGACUGGGGUUAAGUCGUAACAAGGUAACC
rnacentral:rRNA from 1 species